UCACAGUCUAGUGCAGUUGACAGGUGUGCU
rnacentral:piRNA from 1 species